rnacentral:rRNA from 1 species
UACGUAGGGGGGCUAGCGUUGUCCGGAAUCAUUGGGCGUAAAGCGCGUGUAGGCGGCCCAGUAAGUCCGCUCUGAAAGCCCGGGGCUUAACCCCGGGAGGCGGGUGGAUACUGCUGGGCUCGAGUCCGGAAGAGGCGAGUGGAAUUCCCGGUGUAGCGGUGAAAUGCGCAGAUAUCGGGAGGAACACCAAUGGCGAAGGCAGCUUGCUGGGACGUGACUGACGCUGAGACGCGAAAGCGUGGGGAGCAAACAGGG